CCUUCCUUCGCGCGAAUCUACCGUUGAAUCACCCACCGCACAGCUCUCAAAGCGCUUCCAACUGCUCAUCCGCCUGCUCUCCCUUCUCGUCUCUCACAUAUCGAUUAGGGUUUUCUCUUCUAAUCUUUUGCCAAAUCCUCCGAUCUCCGCCAUUAGAGGACCUUCGCCCUCCUCUUCUUCGUCUCAUUAGCCUCUCUUCCAGAUCGAAGUGCGACUGAUUACUCUACUGGAUUCUGUGGAAGAUGGGGGUUUUGUAUCGAGAUUCUGGUUCAUGUUGUUCCCUGCGAAGGAGUACAAGAUUGUGGUUGUGGGUUUCGAUAAUGCUGGAAAAACCACGGCAUUGUAUAAGCUACACCUUGGAGAGGUAGUAACCUCCGAUCCUACGCUUGGGAGCAACAUCUAAGAGGUCGUUUGCAAGACAAUAUGGUUUGAGGUGAGAAAAAAAAAUUGCCAUUCUUAUUUCCUUUCUAAUGGUAUUUUCUGUGGAGCUGCCUAAAUUUGGAUUUUGAAGGGACUCCUCCUCCUCUCUCUCUCUCUCUCAAUCGCACAAAAUGCUCUUUUUUGUCUCGAUAGUUUUGUUCAAGAUUGGUUCGGUCAUUUCUUUUGAGGGUCAUGUUUGUAUCCUUUCUAGAUGCCAUGAAACGAGCAUGAGUCCUGUUUUAAAAGGAAGCACUGCUCAUCUAUUAAGCCAUAGUUACUGUGGAUGUAAAGAUCGUUUGCAACAUGGAAAGCAUAUUUGAUUUUGGUGAAGUCACUUUGGUUGGGGAUUGUGUCUCUGGUGGCUUGUUAGUUGACAAUUUGUUCCUUAAAUUGUAAUUGCAAAUCAAACAUCAAACAUCAUACUGUCCAUUUUCUAAUUUUGCCUAGACUCUGCCCACUUGUAGGGAGCCUUGGAGGAUUGCUCCUUGGAUGGAUGAGCUUGAAAUGUGCAGGCUAUAAGCUAGGAAUCCCUACCCAUUAGAUGGCCUUUCUCACAUCAUUUAGUACUAAUUCAUAGAGUUGACAUCAGAUUCAGUACCCUCACUUUUUUUUUCUUUUCUAUCCUUUCUGCUUUGGUGGGGAUAAUCCAAACAGAUUCUAAGCAUCACAUUACAUUACAGGAUCAUGCGAUCUGUGUGCAGAACUCCUGUUAUUGGUGGUAACUGAACAUCUAAGACUGUCGACACCUGAACCAACUAAUGGCAUCACUCUGAACUUCAAUGGAUCAUACCUUGAUAAAAGGUAUGAUUGUUGGCCUGGCCUACGUCUGGCUGCUUCAAUGUUCUAAUGAGCUACUAUUUGCUGGCAAAAUUGAGUGCCUAUUUUUUUUAAUAUUUUGAUAUUGCAUUGUGAUGACAGCAUGUAAUGGAUUGCAAUAGCUAGACAGGGAGUGAAGAUUAUUAUCAUUCAAAAUGAUGUCACUAUUUAAAUGUUAACAUACAUACUUAAAGCAUAAUGUUAAUAGUGGUUAGCUAUAAUGUUAUAAUAGUUGCUACAAAAAC